UACGGAGGGUGCGAGCGUUGUCCGGAAUCACUGGGCGUAAAGGGCGCGUAGGCGGCCAACUAAGUCCGACGUGAAAUCCCCAGGCUUAACCUGGGAACUGCGUCGGAUACUGGUUGGCUUGAAUCCGGGAGAGGGAUGCGGAAUUCCAGGUGUAGCGGUGAAAUGCGUAGAUAUCUGGAGGAACACCGGUGGCGAAGGCGGCAUCCUGGACCGGCAUUGACGCUGAACAGCGAAAGCCAGGGGAGCAAACGGG
rnacentral:rRNA from 1 species